rnacentral:rRNA from 1 species
AACGAACGUUAGCGGCGCGCUUAACACAUGCAAGUCGAGCGAGAAAGGGGCAACCCCGGUAAAGCGGCGCACGGGUGAGUAACACGUAGGUAAUCUACCCUCCGGUGGUGGAUAACUUUCCGAAAGGAAAGCUAAUACAGCAUGGGACCACGACUCCGAAAGGAGUUGAGGUGAAAGUCGGCCUCUUCACGAAAGCCGAC